rnacentral:rRNA from 1 species
GGGUCAGUAGGUUGGUCGUGCCACCGGUACGUACUGGUCUCACUGAUUCCUCCUUCCUGAAGAACCGUAGUACCAUUAAUUUGGUGUUGCGGGGAAACAGGACUGUUACUUUGAAAAAAUUAGAGUGUUUAAAGCAAGCUAACGCUUGAAUACAUUAGCAUGGAAUAAUGAAAUAGGACGAUCGAUCCUAUUUUGUUGGUUUCUAGGAUUGACGUA